UACAGAGGGGGCAAGCGUUGUUCGGAAUUACUGGGCGUAAAGGGCGCGUAGUCGGCCUGCUAAGUCGAACGUGAAAUCCCUGGGCUCAACCCAGGAACUGCGUCCGAUACUGGUUGGCUUGAAUCCGGGAGAGGGAUGCGGAAUUCCAGGUGUAGCGGUGAAAUGCGUAGAUAUCUGGAGGAACACCGGUGGCGAAGGCGGCAUCCUGGACCGGCAUUGACGCUGAGGCGCGAAAGCCAGGGGAGCAAACGGG
rnacentral:rRNA from 1 species